rnacentral:rRNA from 1 species
AGAACGAACGCUGGCGGCAUGCCUAACGCAUGCAAGUCGAACGAGACCUUCGGGUCUAGUGGCGCACGGGUGCGUAACGCGUGGGAAUCUGCCCUUGGGUUCGGAAUAACAGCGAGAAAUUGGCUGCUAAUACCGGAUGAUGACGUAAGUCCAAAGACUUAUCGCCCAAGGAUGAGCCCGCGUAGGAUUAGCUUGUUGGUGAGGUAAGAGCUCACCAAGGCGACGAUCCUUAGCUGGUCUGAGAGGAUGAUCAGCCACACUGGGACUGAGACACGGCCAGACUCCUACGGGAGGCAGCAGUGGGGAAUAUUGGACAAGUGGGCGAAAGCCUGAUCCAGCAAUGCCGCGUGAGUGAUGAAGGCCUUAGGGUCGUAAAGGCUCUUUAACCGGAUAGAUAAUGACGUAGUAACCGGAAGAAGUAAGCUACCGG